rnacentral:rRNA from 1 species
AUUGAACGCUGGCGGCAGGCUUAACACAUGCAAGUCGAGCGGGGUGAUGGUGCUUGCACUAUCACUUAGCGGCGGACGGGUGAGCAAUGCUUAGGAAUCUGCCUAUUAGUGGGGGACAACAUCUCGAAAGGGAUGCUAAUACCGCAUACGUCCUACGGGAGAAAGCAGGGGAUCACUUGUGACAUUGCGCUAAUAGAUGAGCCUAAGUCGGAUUAGCUAGUUGGUGGGGUAAAGGCCUACCAAGGCGACGAUCUGUAGCGGGUCUGAGAGGAUGAUCCGCCACACUGGGACUGAGACACGGCCCAGACUCCUACGGGAGGCAGCAGUGGGGAAUAUUGGACAAUGGGGGGAACCCUGAUCCAGCCAUGCCGCGUGUGUGAAGAAGGCCUUAUGGUUGUAAAGCACUUUAAGCGAGGAGGAGGCUCUUUUGGUUAAUACCCAAGAUGAGUGGACGUUACUCGCAGAAUAAGCACCGGCUAACUCUGUGCCAGCCGCCGCAGUAA